rnacentral:rRNA from 1 species
AAACUGGUGAGUAACACGUGGGAAACCUGCCCAGAAGCGGGGGAUAACACCUGGAAACAGAUGCUAAUACCGCAUAACAACUUGGACCGCAGGGUCCGAGUUUGAAAGAUGGCUUCGGCUAUCACUUUUGGAUGGUCCCGCGGCGUAUUAGCUAGAUGGUGGGGUAACGGCUCACCAUGGCAAUGAUACGUAGCCGACCUGAGAGGGUAAUCGGCCACAUUGGGACUGAGACACGGCCCAAACUCCUACGGGAGGCAGCAGUAGGGAAUCUUCCACAAUGGACGAAAGUCUGAUGGAGCAACGCCGCGUGAGUGAAGAAGGGUUUCGGCUCGUAAAACUCUGUUGUUAAAGAAGAACAUAUCUGAGAGUAACUGUUCAGGUAUUGACGGUAUUUAACCAGAAAGCCACGGCUAACUACGUGCCAGCAGCCGCGGUAAUACGUAGGUGGCAAGCGUUGUCCGGAUUUAUUGGGCGUAAAGCGAGCGCAGGCGGUUUUUUAAGUCUGAUGUGAAAGCCUUCGGCUCAACCGAAGAAGUGCAUCGGAAACUGGGAAACUUGAGUGCAGAAGAGGACAGUGGAACUCCAUGUGUAGCGGUGAAAUGCGUAGAUAUAUGGAAGAACACCAGUGGCGAAGGCGGCUGUCUGGUCUGUAACUGACGCUGAGGCUCGAAAGUAUGGGUAGCAAACAGGAUUAGAUACCCUGGUAGUCCAUACCGUAAACGAUGAAUGCUAAGUGUUGGAGGGUUUCCGCCCUUCAGUGCUGCAGCUAACGCAUUAAGCAUUCCGCCUGGGGAGUACGGCCGCAAGGCUGAAACUCAAAGGAAUUGACGGGGGCCCGCACCAGCGGUGGAGCAUGUGGUUUAAUUCGAAGCUACGCGAAGAACCUUACCAGGUCUUGACAUACUAUGCAAAUCUAAGAGAUUAGACGUUCCCUUCGGGGACAUGGAUACAGGUGGUGCAUGGUUGUCGUCAGCUCGUGUCGUGAGAUGUUGGGUUAAGUCCCGCAACGAGCGCAACCCUUAUUAUCAGUUGCCAGCAUUAAGUUGGGCACUCUGGUGAGACUGCCGGUGACAAACCGGAGGAAGGUGGGGAUGACGUCAAAUCAUCAUGCCCCUUAUGACCUGGGCUACACACGUGCUACAAUGGAUGGUACAACGAGUUGCGAACUCGCGAGAGUAAGCUAAUCUCUUAAAGCCAUUCUCAGUUCGGAUUGUAGGCUGCAACUCGCCUACAUGAAGUCGGAAUCGCUAGUAAUCGCGGAUCAGCAUGCCGCGGUGAAUACGUUCCCGGGCCUUGUACACACCGCCCGUCACACCAUGAGAGUUUG